ACUUAUUGCGUCAAUUCCCUAGUCCAGAUCUUAAUUGAAGUAGCCAAUAAUCUGUAUACAGACCACUGAAGAGGAGAAGGAUUCCGCGGCCACUAAAACAGUCCGCGGGUGACUCGGUCCUAAGCGCUGGGCUACGGCCAUAGAAGCGUCGAAAGGGUAGCAGGUUAAGAUUCCUGCAGGCCUGCCUGAGAUUGGCAACAGAUGGCGAAGCUCACUGAGAAUCGGUCGACCCGGCUGGACCAUCGUCCCAGCUUAAUGCAAAUGAACGGGCGGAAGCGUUAAGCGCUAGAUGCCGGUUCUACUGCGAGAAUACGUCGGCGUAUACCGACGCGGGUGUGGCGGAUAAUCGCUUGAAGCUGGGCUUCGCGACUGGGGCAGGCACCGUACUGAUAACCGCAUCAGGUCUCCUAGGCAAGAAACCUCUAGUGAGAAGAUAACAUGGCCAAGGGAAGUCGGCAAAUCGGCUCUGUAACCUUGGGAUAAAGAGUGGCUCUGAAAGUCCGUGUGCGAAGCUAGUGAUUGUGACCUUGUUGAAGUGCCGAAGUGGGUAAAACUGCUAAGUACGAGACUUGUGAACUUUUGCGUGUGGACCACAUACUGGGCAUUUCAGAACUGCUACUGACUAGAAGAACCCGACUGUAUAAUUAAAACAUAGCAUCUCGAUAGCCACAACUGGUUUUGACGAGAUGUGAAUCCUGCCCAGUGCUAUGACUGUCAAUGUGACGAAGGUCAUUCAAGCUCUGGUAAACGGCGGGAGUAACUAUGACUCUCUUAAGGUAGCCAAAUGCCUCGUCCAGUAAUUUUGGACGUGCAUGAAUGGAUUAAUGAGGUUCUUACUGUCCCUGGCCAUAUCUUCGCGAAACCACAGACUCGGGAACGGGCGAGUGUAACCCUCAGCGGGGCAAGAAGACCCUGUUGAGCUUGACUCCAGCUUGGAAUUGUAGAACGGUGAUGGUGAUAUAGAGUACAGGGGAGCUAUGCGAUCAUGUAACACCCUGGCACUACUCAUUGUUCUGCUAACCUGCUUAACGGCCUGUCUUUUGAAGAGGGCUCGGCAGGGACAUUUCUAGGUGGGGAGUUUGGCUGGGGCGGCGCGCCUGCUAAAGCGCAACGCAGGCGUCCUAAAACAAGCUCAGACAGGACGGAAACCUGUCGUAGAGCAAAAGAGCAAAAGCUUGUCUGACUGAGUGCGUCAGUGGCGUACUCAGCCGUGAAAGCGUGGUCUAUCGAUCCUUUACGAUUCCUGGAAUGAAUCUGGAGGUGACAGAAAAGUUACCACAGGGAUAACUGGCUUGUGGCCGCCAAGCGACCAAAGCGACGUGGCUUUUUGAUUCUUCGAUGUCGGCUCUUCCUAUCAUUCUGAAGCAGCAUUCAGAAAGUGUUGGAUUGUUCACCCAUGCAAGGGAACGUGAGCUGGGUUUAGACCGUCGCGAGACAGGUUAGUUUUAUCCUACUGAGGACCGCGCACUGCAAGUAAUUUAGAUUAGUACGAGAGGAACAUUUUCAUCUAAGCACUGGUUUACAGCCUUGUUUGACAAAGCAGCUGGCUGAAGCCACCCUUAGGCAUGUUAUGGCUGACGGCCUCUAAGUGAGAAUCUCCCCUUCAGGUGUGCAUGGCUCAAGCGUCCUUGAAAUACCGGACCGAGCCGAUGUUACUCUGUAGACCACAGAGCUCGAGUGCAUUGUAAGAUAUAAGUAAAUUCAAGUAUUUGAGAU
rnacentral:rRNA from 1 species